rnacentral:rRNA from 1 species
GGGGAAUAUUGGACAAUGGGCGCAAGCCUGAUCCAGCCAUGCCGCGUGAGUGAUGAAGGCCCUAGGGUUGUAAAGCUCUUUCACCGGUGAAGAUAAUGACGGUAACCGGAGAAGGAGCCCCGGCUAACUUCGUGCCAGCAGCCGCGGUAAUACGAAGGGGGCUAGCGUUGUUCGGAAUUACUGGGCGUAAAGCGCACGUAGGCGGAUAUUUAAGUCAGGGGUGAAAUCCCAGAGCUCAACUCUGGAACUGCCUUUGAUACUGGGUAUCUUGAGUAUGGAAGAGGUAAGUGGAAUUGCGAGUGUAGAGGUGAAAUUCGUAGAUAUUCGCAGGAACACCAGUGGCGAAGGCGGCUUACUGGUCCAUUACUGACGCUGAGGUGCGAAAGCGUGGGGAGCAAAC